AGCUCCAAUAGCGUAUAUUAAAGUUGUUGCAGUUAAAAAGCUCGUAGUUGGAUUUUGGAUUGAGUUGAACGGUCUGCCUAAUUGGUAUGAACUGUUUGGUUCUUUCUUCUUCUCGAAGACUGUGUGUGCUCUUAACUGAGUGUGCAUGGGGUUCGGGACUUUUACUGUGAGAAAAUUAGAGUGUUCAAAGCAGGCAUUUGCUUGAAUAUUGCAGCAUGGAAUAAUGGAAUAGGAUCACGAUCUUAUUUUGUUGGUUUCUAGGAUCGAGAUAAUGAUUAAUAGGGAUAGUUGGGGGCAUUAAUAUUUAAUUGUCAGAGGUGAAAUUCUUGGAUUUAUGAAAGAUUAACUUCUGCGAAAGCAUUUGCCAAGGAUGUUUUCGUUAAUCAAGAACGAAAGUACG
rnacentral:rRNA from 1 species